UAUGAAGGCCCCCAUAUUUUACUAAAUGGGCUUAAGGUUUGGAUAAUCCAUUAUCCAUAUAAAAACAAGCACGAUCGCAUCUAAGGAAAUUAGAGGACACAGACACGAAAGAAAAAGAAAAGGCUUUCCUAAAAAAUUGAAUCUGUCGAAUUUAUCUCUCAAUCUAUGAUGACAGAAUUCAAUUCUUGUGAGUAUGUCGAGGGACUCCGCAUUACCCUCCAACGUUCUCAUGGUCUCGAAAUUUCAUAUAUAGUAUUGGAUCAAGUUAUUUAGCAACAACCAAGCAGCAGUAACCGGCCAUCAACAACUCAGCAGCAACAACCCAACAGCAACCCAAGCCAGCAACAACUGAACAAGCGAACAACAGGAGCUGCAUAUGCGCUUAACAGCAGCCCAGUAGGAGAUGUUUGACCAACAGGAGCAAAACUGCACAGGACAGAAGACAGUAGCAGCUAGAAGCAGACAACUUUUUUUUUCUUUUUUUGUUUACUUUACUUUGCAUUCUUUUUAAACUAGGCUCCAAAGUUGAUCUCGUUUAAGGUCCUAAAAAAGCUUGAACCAACACCACCCAUAUAUACCCCAAUGGGGAUGGUCUUACACCAAUCGCCACCAUCAUAACGCUACUGCUAUCUUCAUCGUCGUUGUAUCGUGUGGACAUUAGUCUAGUUCAUUUUAAUAAACAAUAAUUCGAUAAAUCUUUAAAAAAUUUAAUAGAUAGUUGUUACACGUGAUAUAAUAAUGGAAAA